UACGUAGGGGCGAGCGUUGUCCGGAUUUAUUGGGCGUAAAGAGCGUGUAGGCGGUUCGGUAAGUCUGUCGUGAAAUCCUGAGGCUCAACCUCGGCGUGCGAUGGAUACUGCCGGGCUAGAGGGUGGUAGAGGCGAGUGGAAUUCCCGGUGUAGCGGUGAAAUGCGCAGAUAUCGGAGGAACACCAGUAGCGAAGGCGGCUCGCUGGCCACACCGUGACGCUGAGACGCGAAAGCUAGGGGAGCGAACG
rnacentral:rRNA from 1 species